CUUUCCCAGCCCCGGCUGCCGCGUGAGUCACCGGGCAGCUGGUCCUGGCAGCACCUCGAGGGCCCAGAGCAGAGGCCAAGGGCAGCUCCUGCGUUUCUGUCCCGGCAUCAGCUGUUCCCGGGGACAGACACGAGCCCCACGGAGGAGGCCGCAGCCGAAGGCACAGCCAGAUGUCAGAGGGGACCCACGGAAAAGGAAGCCUUUGGAGGCAGCGAGGGCCUGGGUUCACGGGACAGUGGCCAGCAGCCACAUCCGCCUGUCCCGGGUUCCAGGAGUGGCGGAACCCCGCUCCCAGCUGUCCCCCGGUGGAGGCUGCACGGCAGCUGCAGAAGCGGGGGAAGCCUCACAGUCGUCACAGCCCGGCGAUGCGACAGGUGUCACCCACAGGCUCUGGGGAGCACCAGCCCUGACAAACCCAGACGGGUGCCCGGGGCAGGAGGUCGCCAUGGAAAGGCAAGAGCCGGAGCGUGACAGGAGACAGGUGGCCCAGGGCGGUCACCUUUUCAACUAACGUUCACUGAACAACAGCAACACACGCAUCUUCAGCAUUCACCACUUCAUUUUUAUUUUAGAACGUAGUUACACAUCCUCUUUUCAAAAACAUUAAAAGAAUAUAGUAUAUCAAGUAAAAAAAUACACCAAAAAAAGGGGGCGGGGGGAGAAGCACAUGUCCCCCUUGUCUCGCAUCUCCAAUUCCAUCCCCGCCCCAGAGACCAUCAUUGCGAACAGUGCUGUCUUUUGGACUAGAGGCCCAAUAAACACACUGUCUUCUAACCAAAAGUAGGCUUUUCCUCUUCAUACUGCUCUGCAACUUACCAGUUUUUUCACUUUGCACCGUACCACAUUUGCACGUGAGCACAUAUAUUUAUGACAUCUUCUUGAACAGCU